rnacentral:rRNA from 1 species
GAUGAACGCUAGCGGCAGGCCAACACAUGCAAGUCGAGGGGCAGCACAGAAACAGCAAUGUUUUGGUGGCGACCGGCGGACGGGUGCGUAACGCGUAUGCAACCUACCUUUAACAGGGGGAUAACGGAGAGAAAUUUCCACUAAUACCCCAUAACAUCGAUCAAGGCAUCUUGAUUGGUUGAAAACUCCGGUGGUUAAAGAUGGGCAUGCGUUGUAUUAGGUAGUUGGUGAGGUAAUGGCUCACCAAGCCUACGAUACAUAGGGGGACUGAGAGGUUAGCUCCACACACUGGUACUGAGACACGGACCAGACUCCUACGGGAGGCAGCAGUGAGGAAUAUUGGUCAAUGGGGGCAACCCUGAACCAGCCAUGCCGCGUGCAGGAAGACGGCUCUAUGAGUUGUAAACUGCUUUUAAACAGGGAUAAAGCACAGUAUGUAUACUGUGUUGAAGGUACUGUAAGAAUAAGGAUCGGCUAACUCCGUGCCAGCCGCCGCGGUAA